rnacentral:misc_RNA from 1 species
UUAGAACCCUCCGCGAAAGUUACUGCUUCGUCGUUGAUUUGGUAUCGUCGUAAAUAAUUUCUUUGCUGUUGUUGUUUUUGCCGGUUUUAACAAUCGGGCUUGACCGUGCCGCGUGACGCGUUCAAGAUAAAGCAAACAUCCGAAGAUGAUGAGUAGUCAAGUGCAGGAGAGUGUAAAUCUCUACGCUGAUCCUAAAAUACAUACUGUCGGUGUCAAUAACGGUGUUCAAAAUUUGCAAACCAUCCAUAAUCAUCCUAGUCUGCAAAAUGGACAGAAUCUCAUGGUGGUUACUCAAGAUGCACAAGGCAAGGAGGUUCUUGCCAUUGCCGAUGAACAGGCGAUCAUUAAUAUCACCCUUGAUUCCUAUUGGCUACUAGAGCUGGCACACAGAGAAUACCAGGCUGGAGAUUAUGAAAAUGCAGAAAGACAUUGUAUGCAAUUGUGGAGGCAAGAAACCAACAAUACCGGAGUCCUUCUUCUCCUGUCUUCUAUACACUUCCAAUGCCGGAGGCUUGAUAAGUCAGCCCACUUCAGCACACUAGCAAUAAAGCAAAAUCCGUUACUCGCUGAAGCAUACAGCAACCUGGGUAAUGUGUUCAAAGAACGCGGUCAGCUGCAGGAGGCUUUAGAAAACUAUCGUCACGCCGUCAGACUGAAACCAGACUUCAUCGAUGGCUACAUCAACCUGGCAGCUGCUCUCGUUGCCGCUGGUGAUAUGGAACAGGCGGUACAGGCAUACGUUACUGCCUUACAAUAUAAUCCUGAUCUCUACUGUGUGCGCAGUGAUCUUGGUAAUCUUUUGAAAGCAUUAGCAAGACUUGACGAGGCCAAGCUCUAGGAGGGGAGAUUGGAGCUAUGCAAAUGGUCGGUAUCCGUGCUGGUUUCUUCGUCAAAGGGUGAAAAUCUGAAUCUGGUUAUUCAGUAACACACUCUCAGUCUAUGUUUAUUAUGAGAGAUUUCGACCCAUACCUACCAUCAACCUACCGAAGGGUACACUGAAGGCAUGCUACCUGAAGGCCAUAGAAACACGACCAGACUUUGCCGUUGCGUGGAGCAAUCUUGGAUGCGUUUUCAAUGCUCAGGGAGAA